UACGAAGGGGGCUAGCGUUGCUCGGAAUCACUGGGCGUAAAGCGCACGUAGGCGGAUUGCGUAAGUCAGGGGUGAAAUCCUGGAGCUCAACUCCAGAACUGCCUUUGAUACUGGCGAUCUUGAGUCCGGGAGAGGUGAGUGGAACUGCGAGUGUAGAGGUGAAAUUCGUAGAUAUUCGCAAGAACACCAGUGGCGAAGGCGGCUCACUGGCCCGGUACUGACGCUGAGGUGCGAAAGCGUGGGGAGCAAACAGG
rnacentral:rRNA from 1 species